GGGUGCUACCACCCCCACCCCUCGGUUCGGUGCUGCGGCUGUCAGUGCCCAACAGGGGCGGGGUCAGUGGAUCCCCGCGCGGGGGUCGGAGCAGGGAGGAUUGACGAGGUUGGCCAGCACCCAACCCUCCAGGAAAACGUGCUUGAUCCGGUCACGAACACAUAUAACACAUAUGGAACCACCAUAGGCCCUGCUGACGGUUUUUCUUGUUUUGGACAAUCUCAUAAGAACUUUGGGUCUUACAGCACGAACCCCUUGAAGUCUGCUUGGGUACACACCACAGUAGAUUUUGGUGCUUUCCCAGCCUUCUUGGUAUAAAGCAAGAAGAUGUGAAAGUUUGGGAAAGGACACCUCUGAUUCCGAGAUCAAAAGAUGCUGAGAGACCGAGGCUUAAGCUUCAGGGCCCUUCGGCCCCACCUGCUGGCCGGAGACGGUAGCGCUGCCCCAGCCGCUCAGUGCUUGUGGGGCUGCCAGUCCCGUUUCCACCUCCUGUCAGAGAGAUGGGAUGGGGCUGGCGGGGAAGAGGAGGCCGCUGAGGCCCCACCUGGGAGCUGCAGAGCUGGGGUAAACCUGGGGCUCUGGGCAGGUCUGCCCCAGGCAGUAUACUGUGGAGAAUGAAACUUUUCUAAAUGAUCAAUAAAAAAGCCAAGGUGCAGUCAGCCGUGCUGGAGGAAAGACUGAAUUAUCUUUCUAUUCUCUCUAUAGACAAAUUAUGAACUUUUAUGGAGACCAAAGAGUAUGCAGUCAAAAAACGUAGGAAGAAAAAUGAGUACAGAGCUGUGUCACGAAGUUAAAUAAUACUAGCAACAA